GAAUCUGGUCAAUGGGGAGGGGCCCUACAAACCACCUCCUGCUGGAAAAUCCUCAGUACCUGGGCUAAAAACGAGAGAUCAUCAGUCAAGAACCUCGUUCCUGGAGGGGCCCAGUUCAGGGCUGAUGAAAAUUCUAACUAUCAAGACAUUUGAUGGCAAAAACAAGAUCUGUGAACAGUUUUCACAUCUGCUUUCCACUGUAUUUGGUCUUGGCUUGAUUGCCCUCUUUUUCCUGCCCAACGCUGGCGUUGGCCUCACUGGUAAGAGAAGGUGUGUUUAUAACAAGGGGUAACUACUCUGUGCAAGACAGAGCGGAGAGAAGACAAACUACGGGUAGGGGGCGCAGCAGUGCCUUCAUCGCCUAGCUUACCCCGGGGCCUUGUCUACUCUAGGGCUAGGUCGGCCCUUGGGGCUGAGGAAAGCCGAUUCAAGCACAGGCGCUGCCCACAGAGCUCCUCCAGUGGCUGUGGACGGCGGGCUGUGUCCACACGUGUGGCAACGCCCACCUCUGGCGCCGCGCUACCGGGGGCAGGGCCUCUAGCCCCACUGUCUGUCGGGGCGAAGCCCCAGUGGGCCAGGCUGGGAGCGAAUCUCCGCUUACGAAACCGGGGCCACCCGGAGCUAGCUGAGGAGGCGCCGCUCGACCGCCCUGGGACCUGGCUCCAAGGAUUUCCCCAGCAACGCCAGCCAAGCGCACACGCUGCCCCCAGCGGCUCCCACUGCCAGCCUCUCGCCAGAGGCCACCCCGGUGGGUGCAGGGGCUCCCACACAGCGCGGGCGCUCCGGGAACAGCUACUCCCUGCAGGCAGCCAUUACCUGCUUUCAAAUCGGCAAUAGUCGCCAUCUUCAAACGGCCACUACUCCGCUGAGGGGCGAGGACUAGGAGGAGAGUGAAAGGCCCCGG